UCAUAUAUGCAGGAAACCAAUGGGACUUUCUUCGCCUAAUCCUAGAACUGUCAAUGGAACUUCUCAAACCAACCGGGAAAUAUUUCACUCAGGGCAAUGGCUUCAAUAAUAAGUCAGCAUUGGCCAUGUAUGAGGAACAACUAACCAAACUGAAAUACAAAGUUGGAUUCAGCAAGGAAAAUGUCUGUGUUCCAUCCUACCUUGAAAUGUGGGUAUUCUACGAAAUCUGGAAGCAAACCGAUAGCUGAAACCCGGAUCACAAGGAUAAAUAACAAGCUCAUUCUUACUACAUGUUCAAUCUUUAUUUAUAAUGCCAAUAAUAAUUGCAACCUUGGAUUUAUGUGUGUGUAUAUGGAAGUGGUGUCGGGUAUUGUCGGCUUGUUGCCUCAAUGGAUUUUAUUGGGAUUCUGAAAUGGAUUUUAAAUUGAUAUGGGAUAUGUUUCCCCCAUUGCUGAGAAUACAUGAAUAUAGUCUGCAGGCACAGACCCGAGUGGUUGCAAUUUGCAUAGUGCAACGUCUGAAGUAGUAGACUAGAUUCACUUGUAUACUGUGGCUGCUUCUUUAUUUGACACAGAGGGUUUGGAGUGUCUAGUCUCCACACCUAGACUUGGUUUAAUUUGUUCAAGUGUCAAAUUUGAGUCUGUGCUUCCAGAAUAGCAUGAAUGCUUGUUUUUUUUGUAA